rnacentral:rRNA from 1 species
GAUGAACGCUGGCGGCGUGCCUAAUACAUGCAAGUCGAGCGAACGGACGAGAAGCUUGCUUCUCUGAUGUUAGCGGCGGACGGGUGAGUAACACGUGGAUAACCUACCUAUAAGACUGGGAUAACUUCGGGAAUCCGGAGCUAAUCCCGGAUGAUAUUUUGAUCCGCAUGGUUCAAAAGUGAAAGACGGUCUUGCUGUCUCUUAUAGAUGGAUCCGCGCUGCAUUAGCUAGUUGGUAAGGUAACGGCUUACCAAGGCAACGAUGCAUAGCCGACCUGAGAGGGGGAUCGGCCACACUGGAACUGAGACACGGUCCAGACGCCUACGGGAGGCAGCAGUAGGGAAUCUUCCGCAAUAGGCGAAAGCCUGACGGAGCGGCGCCGCGUGAGUGAUGAAGGUCUUCGGAUCGUAAAACUCUGUUAUUAGGGGAGAACAUAUGUGUAAGUAACUGUGCACAUCUUGACGGUACCUAAUCAGAAAGCCACGGCUAACUACGUG